CAAUGGUGGGCUGUUUUACAGGAAAGUCAAAGUUAAGGCUUGGCCCACUGUUGGUAACUACAUGGAGAGUGAUGUUGUAAGAUGCAAGAAAGACUUUGGCACGGGUCUCCAAUAUGCAUGGAAGGAUCGCACACCCAGAUGGGUAAAAUCAAUCAAUGCUCUUCCACUGGUUGCUGGGAUAUUGGGUCAACCAACCCUGGCUCCCUUCAGAUCAUGGAAGGCGAAGUCAGAAGUGAGAACUUCUUACUAACAUACUGGAAGGAUAAAUGGGAAUGCUUUUAUUUUAGCAGUUGUCACAGAGCAUGGUGGCGAAUGGAAAGAAGAACUGAAGAUGUGCUAAAAGCAAGAGUCUGUCUACGAGAACACAGAAAACAGCACGAUCUGGACUGUGCCUUCUGCUGCAACGUAGCAGAC